rnacentral:misc_RNA from 1 species
AAAGUCGUAACAAGGUUUCCGUAGGUGAACCUGCGGAAGGAUCAUUAUUGAAAUAAACCUGAUGGGUUGUUGCUGGCUCUCUAGGGAGCAUGUGCACACCUUGUCAUCUUUAUAUCUCCACCUGUGCACUUUUUGUAGACCUUUCAGGUCUAUGUUGCUUCAUUUACCCCAAUGUAUGUUUAUAGAAUGUUGUGCCUAUAUAAUAUAUACAACUUUCAGCAACGGAUCUCUUGGCUCUC